rnacentral:lncRNA from 1 species
CAGUCCUUCAUUGUUUUGAGAUGGCUGAAGGGGAAGGCGUUUUUGCCCACUGAACUUGUUGCUGAAACUCUAGCUUAUGAUGGCCACUGGAGAGGGAUGCCGUAUUGAACAGAAAGCGGACACGUGAAAUGAUGGAUGAUCUGUGAAAUGAAAGAAGAGCGUCGACUGUCCUUCUUCAGCUGCUUUUCAGUCACUCUGUGAUCUAUGGUGACUUAAGCUACCCUCUCUGAGCAAGGACUUCCUAGACGGGCUGUUCCAGCCUGCCAGGACAGCAAGACCACCGACAGGGAGAUGGGAGAAUUGUAAGAGCUCUGUUGCCUAGUGAAGUCUCUCUGGCAUCUGCCCUCUGGCCUGGGCCAGUGCCCACCAAGGAGGAGGCUAGGUUGGGGUACAGUCGGCCCACAAUCCAGAACAGGGGAGGGGCCUGUGUUUCGGGGUGGGGGCCCCAAGGCAGGAAUCCCCUGAAGCUCUGUGGAACAUCCGGUUUUGAACGACUCCAUUUAGAAGUAGAAGAAAGGCUCUCUGGGGAAAUAGGAAGGCUCUGGCAGGCUUCCCAGGAGAACAGCAAGUUCCAGCCAACUGGAGCUCCGGAAGCAGGGAACUUGUGGGGAAGGAUGGGGCAUAGAGCAAGCAGGCAUCUCAGCCACGGUUUCCCUGGCAAAGCUCUGCUCUGAAGGGAGCAUGUUUCUGAAGACCGGGAGGGUCUCAUCCUCCAGGUUGUUAUGCACAUAGGCAGCAUAUUUCCUGUGAACUCAAUCACAGCACAAAUAAUAAAAACCCAGAAACAGAUAUUGGGGUUAAAGCUGAAGAACAGAAAAACAAAUCAGUCAGCUACUAGAGAGUUCUCACCUCUACCAAUUCUCAGACUGAAGGAGCGAACGUGUCCUCUGAUAGCAUCUCCAAACUGCAUUGCUCCUUAGACUUCGGAUAAUUGGAUAUUGAAUUAUUUAUACUGCUGGAGUUUGGUUUUGCUUUGUUUGGACUGCACUAACUGUUUCCUCUUGAAGUAAGUAUUUAUUUUUGAUUUGAUAGGUGCAAACAAUUGAGAGACUUUGAAUUUUUAUUUAUUUUUGAGUCCAAUGCGUGUUAGUUUUAUUUGAUGAUGAACAAACAAUAUUAACACACCCAGCAACUCCAGUGACUUUUGCUCACACUACUGAGAAGCAAGACUUAGCCCCUCUCUCCAUGGCCAUGCCUCAGCACAGAAGCCCUGUUCUUUAGAGUUACAGGACAUCCACACCUGUGCAGCCACCUGACCUCACUGGACUGUCAGCACUUGACUGAAAUGGAAG